rnacentral:rRNA from 1 species
CAAUAGCGUAUAUUAAAGUUGUUGCGGUAAAAAAGCUCGUAGUUGGAUUUCUGUUGAGAGCGACCGGUCCAUACCAUGUAUGCGUAUCUGGCUUGCUCUCGGCAUCCUCUCGAUAGACGUUACUGCGCUUGAUUGCGUGGUGCGGAUCUCGGGACUUUUACUUUGAGGAAAUUAGAGUGUUCACGGCAGGCUUUCGCCAGAAUACAUUAGCAUGGAAUAAUACUAUAGGAUCUUGGUUCUAUUUUGUUGGUUUCUAGAAUUGAGAUAAUGAUUAAUAGGGACAAUUGGGGGCAUUCGUAUCAACACGUCAGAGGUGGAAUUCUUGGAUUGUGUUGCGACGAACUACUGCGAAAGCACUUGCCAAGGAUGUUUUCAUUGA